rnacentral:rRNA from 1 species
ACACCGGCAGCUCGAGUGGGAGCUGUUUUUAUUGGGCCUAAAGCGUUCGUAGCCGGUUUGAUAAGUCUUUGGUGAAAGCUUGUAGCUUAACUAUAAGAAUUGCUGGGGAUACUAUCAGACUUGAAGUCGGGAGAGGUUAGAGGUACUACCGGGGUAGGGGUGAAAUCCUGUAAUCCUGGGAGGACCACCUGUGGCGAAGGCGUCCAGCUGGAACGAACCUGACGGUGAGGGACGAAAGCCAGGGGCGCGAACCGGAUUAGAUACCCGGGUAGUCCUGGCCGUAAACGAUGUGGACUUGGUGUUGGGAUGGCUUCGAGCUGCCCCAGUGCCGAAGGGGAGCUGUUAAGUCCACCGCCUGGGAAGUACGGCCGCAAGGCUGAAACUUAAAUGAAUUGGCGGGG